rnacentral:rRNA from 1 species
AAGUUUUUUCGGUUGGGGAUGGGCUCGGGGCCUAUCAGUUUGUUGGUGAGGUAAUGGCUCACCAAGACGACGACGGGUAGCCGGCCUGAGAGGGCGACCGGCCACACUGGGACUGAGACACGGCCCAGACUCCUACGGGAGGCAGCAAUGGGGAAUAUUGCACAAUGGGGGAAACCCUGAUGCGGCGACGCAGCGUGCGGGAUGACGGCCUUCGGGUUGUAAACCGCUUUCAGCAGGGAAGAAGCCUUUCGGGGUGACGGUACCUGCAGAAGAAGUACCGGCUAACUACGUGCCAGCAGCCGCGGUAAUACGUAGGGUACAAGCGUUGUCCGGAAUUAUUGGGCGUAAAGAGCUCGUAGGUGGUUGGUCACGUCUGCUGUGGAAACGCAACGCUUAACGUUGCGCGUGCAGUGGGUACGGGCUGACUAGAGUGCAGUAGAGGAGUCUGGAAUUCCUGGUGUAGCGGUGAAAUGCGCAGAUAUCAGGAGGAACACCGGUGGCGAAGGCGGGACUCUGGGCUGUAACUGACACUGAGGAGCGAAAGCAUAGGGAGCGAACAGGAUUAGAUACCCUGGUAGUCCAUGCCGUAAACGUUGGGCACUAGGUGUGGGGGACAUUCCACGUUCUCCGCGCCGUAGCUAACGCAUUAAGUGCCCCGCCUGGGGAGUACGGUCGCAAGGCUAAAACUCAAAGGAAUUGACGGGGGCCCGCACAAGCGGCGGAGCAUGCGGAUUAAUUCGAUGCAACGCGAAGAACCUUACCAAGGCUUGACAUACACCAGACCGUUCUGGAAACAGUUCCUCCCCUUUGGGGUUGGUGUACAGGUGGUGCAUGGUUGUCGUCAGCUCGUGUCGUGAGAUGUUGGGUUAAGUCCCGCAACGAGCGCAACCCUCGUUCUAUGUUGCCAGCACGUGAUGGUGGGAACUCAUAGGAGACUGCCGGGGUCAACUCGGAGGAAGGUGGGGAUGACGUCAAAUCAUCAUGCCCUUUAUGUCUUGGGCUUCACGCAUGCUACAAUGGCUGGUACAGAGAGAUGCGAGACCGCGAGGUUUUAGCGAAUCCCUUAAAGCCAGUCUCAGUUCGGAUCGUAGUCUGCAAUUCGACUACGUGAAGUCGGAGUCGCUAGUAAUCGCAGAUCAGCAAC